ensembl:snRNA U5 U5 spliceosomal RNA
AUACUCUGACUUCUCUUGAGGUUGUAUAAAUCGUUCACCUUUUACCAAAGAUUUCUGUGGAGAGGAAUACCUUGACAGACAAGUGUAUGUCUGCAUUUGUCCUCUUCUUGGUGACCCCACCACUUUUGGGGAG